GAUGAAGAACGUAGCGAAAUGCGAUAGGUAAUGUGAAUUGCAGAAUUCAGUGAAUCAUCGAGUCUUUGAACGCACAUUGCGCCCUCUGGUAUUCCGGAGGGCAUGCCUGUCCGAGCGUCAUUGCUGCCCUCAAGCACGGCUUGUGUGUUGGGCUCCGUCCCCCGAUCCCGGGGGACGGGCCCGAAAGGCAGCGGCGGCACCGCGUCCGGUCCUCGAGCGUAUGGGGCUUUGUCACCCGCUCUGUAGGCCCGGCCGGCGCUUGCCGAUCAACCAAAUUUUUAUCCAGGUUGACCUCGGAUCAGGUAGGGAUACCCGCUGAACUUAAGCAUAUCAAUAAGCGGAGGA
rnacentral:misc_RNA from 1 species